AUUGAACGCUGGCGGCAUGCCUUACACAUGCAAGUCGAACGGCAGCACGGGUGCUUGCACCUGGUGGCGAGUGGCGAACGGGUGAGUAAUACAUCGGAACGUACCUUAUCGUGGGGGAUGACGCAGCGAAAGCUGUGCUAAUACCGCAUACGCCCUGAGGGGGAAAGCGGGGGAUCGAAAGACCUCGCGCGAUUAGAGCGGCCGAUGCCUGAUUAGCUUGUUGGUGGGGUAAAAGCCCACCAAGGCGACGAUCAGUAGCUGGUCUGAGAGGACGAUCAGCCACACUGGGACUGAGACAGGGCCCAGACUCCUACGGGAGGCAGCAGUGGGGAAUUUUGGACAAUGGGGGCAACCCUGAUCCAGCAAUGCCGCGUGAGUGAAGAAGGCCUUCGGGUUGUAAAGCUCUUUUGUCAGGGAAGAAACACCGGCUCUAACACAGUCCGGGAAUGACGGUACCUGAAGAAUAAGCACCGGCUAACUACGUGCCAGCCGCCGCAGUAA
rnacentral:rRNA from 1 species